GCUUAGCAAGACUCACUUAAAAACCUUCUCUUCACCGAGCCCAUCAGUAAAAAGCUGUUGUGCUGUGAAUUGAGAGUCAUGCUGCUGAGGGCUGAGAAGGGAACUGGAGGUGAGGACACAGAGCCCAGGGCUGGGUGGUGCCAGCAUCAAAGGGAAGGCAGACUGGAAGCCAGCACCUUUCUGCUCCCGGGACCUGCUCACCAGACUGGUUUCCCAAUACUACUGCACGGCCACAGCUGUUGACAGCGUUCCCGUGACAAGCCUUCUCUGGUUCAUGGCAUGAAUUGCAAGCUCAGUGCCUGAUUAUUUCCUUUGAGUUCUCUUUCCCUGUGUUCCACCACUGACGAUGGAGGGCUUUGAUGUCAAGCAUCAAUCCUCAGGAGCCAUCUCUCUCCAGACAUGGCACCCAGCUUCCUCUGGAAUCACAAAGCUCUAAGUUGCAGAGUCAGAGUUCAAGCCAGGUCCCUCCAGACUCUACGCGGGGCUCUCGGGCAGUUUACUCUGGAGCCCUAGCACACCUCCUUGGAGCAGUGCCUUGUGGGUAUCUACUCGUAGUGCGUGUUCCCUGCUCCACGGCCAAACCAAGUGCUGGUGUGGCUGCAGGGGUGGCUGGUGGACAAACAGUCCUGCGUCUCCCAGUCUCGCUUUUGGUUGCAAUUAGAUAGUACAGCAUACAAGCUCUGGCUCAGUGCCCUGGGCUGCAGAUUUCUCUUGUUUAUUGCAAGGCACUCUCAAAUAAAGGCUUUUAAACAA